rnacentral:rRNA from 1 species
CCUACGGGUGGCAGCAGUAGGGAAUAUUGCUCAAUGGGGGAAACCCUGAAGCAGCAACGCCGCGUGGAGGAUGAAGGUUUUAGGAUUGUAAACUCCUUUUGUGAGAGAAGAUAAUGACGGUAUCUUACGAAUAAGCACCGGCUAACUCCGUGCCAGCAGCCGCGGUAAUACGGAGGGUGCAAGCGUUACUCGGAAUCACUGGGCGUAAAGAGUGCGCAGGCGGGCUUGUAAGACAGAUGGGAAAUUCUGUGGCUUAACAACAGAACUGCAUUUGAAACUGUGAGUCUAGAGUGUGGGAGAGGUAGGUGGAAUUCUUGGUGUAGGGGUGAAAUCCGUAGAUAUCAAGAGGAACACUCAUGGCGAAGGCGGCCUACUGGAACAUUACUGACGCUCAUGCACGAAAGCGUGGGGAGCAAACAGGAUUAGAUACCCGGGUAGUC